UACGGAGGGUGCAAGCGUUGUCCGGAUUUAUUGGGUUUAAAGGGUGCGUAGGCGGCCUUUUAAGUCAGUGGUGAAAUCCUCCAGCUUAACUGGAGAACUGCCAUUGAUACUGAAAAGGCUUGAGUACAGACGAGGGUAGGCGGAAUUGACAGUGUAGCGGUGAAAUGCAUAGAUAUUGUCAAGAACACCGAUUGCGUAGGCAGCUUACUAGGCUGUAACUGACGCUGAGGCACGAAAAGUGCGGGGAUCAAACAGG
rnacentral:rRNA from 1 species